AGAGUUUGAUCAUGGCUCAGAUUGAACGCUGGCGGCAGGCCUAACACAUGCAAGUCGAGCGGAUGAAGGGAGCUUGCUCCUGGAUUCAGCGGCGGACGGGUGAGUAAUGCCUAGGAAUCUGCCUGGUAGUGGGGGAUAACGUCCGGAAACGGGCGCUAAUACCGCAUACGUCCUGAGGGAGAAAGUGGGGGAUCUUCGGACCUCACGCUAUCAGAUGAGCCUAGGUCGGAUUAGCUAGUUGGUGGGGUAAAGGCCUACCAAGGCGACGAUCCGUAACUGGUCUGAGAGGAUGAUCAGUCACACUGGAACUGAGACACGGUCCAGACUCCUACGGGAGGCAGCAGUGGGGAAUAUUGGACAAUGGGCGAAAGCCUGAUCCAGCCAUGCCGCGUGUGUGAAGAAGGUCUUCGGAUUGUAAAGCACUUUAAGUUGGGAGGAAGGGCAGUAAGUUA
rnacentral:rRNA from 1 species